rnacentral:rRNA from 1 species
AGAGCGGAAGCCCGGAGAUGGGAACUGAGACAAGGUCCCAGGCCCUACGGGGCGCAGCAGUUGCGAAAACUCCGCAAUGCGCGAAAGCGUGACGGGGCUACCCCGAGUGCCGCCCGUUGAGGGCGGCUUUUCCAUGGUGUAAGGAGCCGUGGGAAUAAGGAGAGGGCAAGCCUGGUGUCAGCCGCCGCGGUAAUACCAGCUCUCCGAGUGGUGAGGACGAUUAUUGGGCUUAAAGCGUUCGUAGCCGGCUUAACAAGUCUUCCGUUAAAUCCAACGAUUUAAUCGUUGGGGUGCGGGAGAUACUGUUGGGCUAGGAGGCGGGAGAAGCCGACGGUAUUCUCGGGGUAGGGGUGAAAUCCUGUAAUCCCGGGAGGACCACCAGUGGCGAAGGCGGUCGGCU